rnacentral:rRNA from 1 species
AUUCCAGCUCCAAUAGCGUAUAUUAAAGUGUUGCGGUUAAAACGUUCGUAGUUGAACUUGUGCUUCAUACGGGUAGUACAACUUACAAUUGUGGUUAUUACUAUACCUUUAUGUAUGUAAGCGUAUUACCGGUGGAGUUCUUAAUGUGAUUAAAUACUUGUAUUUUUUCAUAUGUUCCUCCUAUUUAAAAACCUGCAUUAGUGCUCUUAAACGAGUGUUAUUGUGGGCCGGUACUAUUACUUUGAACAAAUUAGAGUGCUUAAAGCAGGCUUCAAAUGCCUGAAUAUUCUGUGCAUGGGAUAAUUGAAAUAAGACCUCUGUUCUGCCUUUCAUUGGUUUUCAGAUCAAGAGGUAAUGAUUAAUAGAAGCAGUUUGGCGGGCAUUAGUAUUACGACGCGAGAGGUGAAAUUCUUGGACCGUCGUAAGACUAACUUAAGCGAAAGCAUUUGCCAAAGAUGUUUUCAUUAAUCAAGAACGAAAGUUAGAGGUUCGAAGGCGAUCAGAUACCGCCCUAUUCUAACCAUAAACGAUGCCAGCUAGCAAUUGGGUGUAGCUACUUUUAUGGCUCUCUCAGUCGCUUCCCGGGAAACCAAAGCUUUUGGGCUCCGGGGAAGUAUGGUUGCAAAGCUGAAACUUAAAGGAAUUGACGGAAGGGCACCACCAGGAGUGGAGCCUGCGGCUUAAUUUGACUCAACACGGGAAAACUUACCAGGUCCGAACAUAAGUGUGUAAGACAGAUUGAUAGCUCUUUCUCGAAUCUAUGGGUGGUGGUGCAUGGCGCGUUCUUAGUUCGUGGAGUGAUUUGUCUGGUUAAUUCCGAUAACGAACGAGACUCAAAUAUAUUAAAUAGAUAUCUUCAGGAUUAUGGUGCUGAAGCUUAUGUAGCCUUCAUUCAUGUUGGCAGUAAAAUGCUUAUUGUGUUUGAAUGUGUUUAUGUAAGUGGAGCCGUACCUGUUGGUUUGUCCCAUUAUAAGGACACUAGCUUCUUAAAUGGACAAAUUGCGUCUAGCAAUAAUGAGAUUGAGCAAUAACAGGUCUGUGAUGCCCUUAGAUGUCCUGGGCUGCACGCGCGCUACAAUGAAAGUAUCAACGUGUAUUUCCUAGACCCGAGAGGUCGGGGUAAACCGCUGAACCACUUUCAUGCUUGGGAUUGUGAACUGAAACUGUUCACAUGAACUUGGAAUUCCCAGUAAGUGUGAGUCAUUAACUCGCAUUGAUUACGUCCUGCCCUUUGUACACACCCGCCCGUCGCUACUACCGAUUGAAUUAUUUAGUGAGGUCUCCGGACGUGAUCACUGUGACGCCUUGCGUGUUACGGUUGUUUCGCAAAAGUUGACCGAACUUGAUUAUUUAGAGGAAGUAAAAAGUCGUAACAAGGUUUCCGUAGGUGAACCUGCGGAAG